AGUGAACGCUGGCGGUAGGCCUAACACAUGCAAGUCGAACGGCAGCACAGUAAGAGCUUGCUCUUACGGGUGGCGAGUGGCGGACGGGUGAGGAAUACAUCGGAAUCUACUUUUUCGUGGGGGAUAACGUAGGUAAACUUACGCUAAUACCGCAUACGACCUACGGGUGAAAGCAGGGGAUCUUCGGACCUUGCGCGAUUGAAUGAGCCGAUGUCGGAUUAGCUAGUUGGCGGGGUAAAGGCCCACCAAGGCGACGAUCCGUAGCUGGUCUGAGAGGAUGAUCAGCCACACUGGAACUGAGACACGGUCCAGACUCCUACGGGAGGCAGCAGUGGGGAAUAUUGGACAAUGGGCGCAAGCCUGAUCCAGCCAUACCGCGUGGGUGAAGAAGGCCUUCGGGUUGUAAUGCCCUUUUGUUGGGAAAGAAAAGCAGCAGGUUAAUACCACGCUGUUCUGACGGUACCCAAAGAAUAAGCACCGGCUAACUUCGUG
rnacentral:rRNA from 1 species